AGCUCCAAUAGCGUAUAUUAAAGUUGUUGCAGUUAAAAAGCUCGUAGUUGGAUUUCUGGUAAGAGCGACUGGUCACACACUCUAUGUGUGAACUUGUGUUGUCUCUGGCCAUCCUUGGGGAGAUCCUGUUUGGCAUUAAGUUGUCGAGCAGGGGAUACCCAUCGUUUACUGUGAAAAAUUAGAGUGUUUAGAGCAGGCUUAUGACGUUGAAUAUAUUAGCAUGGAAUAAUAAGAAAGGACUUCGGAACUAUUUUGUUGGUUUGCGUUACAAAGUAAUGAUUAAUAAGGACAGUUGGCGGUAUUUGUAUUUCGUUGUCAGAGGUGAAAUUCUUGGAUUUCCGAAAGACGAACUACUGCGAAAGCAUUUACCAAGGAUGUUUUCG
rnacentral:rRNA from 1 species